rnacentral:lncRNA from 1 species
AUACAUCCCACCCAGAGAAACGAUCUCGCCUCAGAUGAUACUUGUCAUCUGUGAGACCACCCCUUUAGCUAGAGUUAACCACUUGAGCAGGUUUCAAUUUUGUCUCUGAAAGUAGGAAGCUAUCAGUCUCCCUACAUGACUCGUUCCACCCUUUGUGGAUACUUCUACCUGUAGAAAAAAAGGUUGGCAAACUUGGUGGCAUGGUGAGGACAAAGGGCAUUUUGAAAGAACCAGUGACUGAGGUCAGAGUGGGGAGCUGGUGUUAGCUGUGGGAUUCACUGCAGCGUCCUACCACAAAGGCAAAGAAGAUGAAAAUGCAGCGUGCAGUGCUGGGCUUGAUUCCCAAGUCGCAGUCGGGCUCCCGCUAUGGGUAGGAGGCUUUACACUCAGCCUGGGUCAGCACCGGAGCAUCCAGGCACUUCAGCUCGUCUGGGUAGUCAGCUGUGAGGAUCAGGAAGAGAUCAAAGAAAGUAGAAAUGUGGGUGAGGCCAGAGAAGGAGACAAUAAUCUGGGAUGGAACAUUGAAGAGGAACACUGCCUCUGGAGAGGACUCCAAAACAUGCAAGACAUUGUGAUUUUGACCUUGUUGGAUGCUGCACCUAAAGGUGGAUGGAAGAGGAAGAGUCUUGGGGGCUACCAUCCUGGCUGGAGAAGCUGGCACGAGGCUCCCUCUUGUGGAUGCAGCAAGUCUGAGGGCCAAGGGAAGAGAAGAGUGACAUAGAAUCUCCUUUCCUUGAGAUCUUAGAAUCACGCCUGCCUCCUUACCUCCAUCCAGGACUGUUAAAAAUCUCCCAAGGCAGAGACUUUUAGGCCUACAUGUACUUAGCCUCCUCUUCCCACCUCCUGUUCAUCUCUGUUUCCAAUGUUCCACUGCCAUCACUGCCAGGAAGUUCUGCAGAGAAGAAUGAAGAAGAACCGUAUGAUCCUAAACAUGUUCUUUGAAGAUAUUAUCAACCCACCAUUGGCCUUAUUUACUGGAAUGUUUUUAUAACCUUUAUUUGACACCUCUUCCCAUCAUUUAAAAUAAAUCUGGUGCUUCCCUGAAUAA